CACGUAGGGGACGAGCGUUGUCCGGAUUCAUUGGGCGUAAAGCGCGCGUAGGCGGCUCGGAAAGUCGGUCGUGAAAUGCCGGGGCUCAACCCCGGGACUGCGUCCGAUACUCCCGAGCUGGAGGCAGGUAGGGGAGAUCGGAAUUCCUGGUGUAGCGGUGAAAUGCGCAGAUAUCAGGAGGAACACCGGUGGCGAAAGCGUUCUGCUAGACCUGUACUGACACUGAGGGACGAAAGCUAGGGGAGCGAAUGGG
rnacentral:rRNA from 1 species